AUACUUAUCUGGCAGGGGAGAUACCACGUUCACGAAGGUGGUUUUCCGAGGGCCAGGUUUAUCCAUUGCACUCUGGAUGUGCUGACCCCCGUGAUUUGCCUGUAUGUGGGAAACUUGACUGCGUAAUUUGUGUAGUGAGGGAUUGCGUUCACGCUUUCCCUUG
rnacentral:snRNA from 1 species